AAUGAACGCUGGCGGCAGGCCUAAUACAUGCAAGUCGAACGCGUCGCGGACGGGUGUGUCACGUCUGGGAACUUGCCAUAAGGCGGGGGAUAAUUCCGGGAAACGGUAGCUAAUCCCGCAUACCAUCAGCUUUUCCCAGAUGGGAUUAGCUUGUUGGUGGGGUAACGGCUCACCAAGGCGACGAUCCCUAGCUGGUCGGAGAGGAUGACCAGCCACACUGGAACUGAGACACGGUCCAGACUCCUACGGGAGGCAGCAGUGGGGAAUAUUGGACAAUGGGCGAAAGCCUGAUCCAGCCAUGCCGCGUGUGUGAAGAAGGUCUUCGGAUUGUAAAGCACUUUAAGUUGGGAAGCGUUACCAACAGAGUAAGCACCGGCUAACUUCGUGCCAGCAGCCGCGGUAAUAC
rnacentral:rRNA from 1 species